rnacentral:rRNA from 1 species
GAUGAACGCUGGCGGCGUGCUUAACACAUGCAAGUCGAACGAGAAGUGAAGACGGAAACCUUCGGGCGGAAGGCUUUAUUUCGAGUGGCGGACGGGUGAGUAACGCGUGGGUAACCUGCCUCAUACAGGGGGAUAGCAGUUGGAAACGACUGUUAAUACCGCAUAAGACCACAGCACCGCAUGGUGCGGGGGUAAAAACUCCGGUGGUAUGAGAUGGACCCGCGUUCGAUUAGCCAGUUGGCGGGGUAACGGCCCACCAAAGCGACGAUCGAUAGCCGAUCUGAGAGGAUGACCGGCCACAUUGGGACUGAGACACGGCCCAAACUCCUACGGGAGGCAGCAGUGGGGAAUAUUGCACAAUGGGGGAAACCCUGAUGCAGCGACGCCGCGUGAGUGAAGAAGUAUUUCGGUAUGUAAAGCUCUAUCAGCAGGGAAGAAAAUGACGGUACCUGAGGAAGAAGCCCCGGCUAACUACGUG